rnacentral:rRNA from 1 species
CCUACGGGGAGCAGCAGUGGGGAAUAUUGGGCAAUGGGCGCAAGCCUGACCCAGCAACGCCGCGUGAAGGAAGAAGGCUUUCGGGUUGUAAACUUCUUUUCUCAGGGACGAAGCAAGUGACGGUACCUGAGGAAUAAGCCACGGCUAACUACGUGCCAGCAGCCGCGGUAAUACGUAGGCGGCAAGCGUUAUCCGGAUGUACUGGGUGUAAGGGGCGUGUAGGCGGGACUGCAAGUCAGAUGUGAAAACCAGGGGCUCAACCUGUGGCCUGCAUUUGAAACUGUAGUUCUUGAGUACUGGGGAGGCAGACGGAAUUCCUGGUGUAGCGGUGAAAUGCGUAGAUAUUAGGAGGAACACCAGUGGCGAAGGCGGGCUGCUAGGCAACAACUGACGCUGAGGCACGAAAGCGUGGGGAGCAAACAGGAUUAGAUACCCUAGUAGUC